CCGCGUGUCCGGGACGGGAAUCUCUGCUCCUGAUUGUCCAAACGCAAUUCUUGUGCGCUGGAGCCGUACGAACCAAGAAUUGUGUCUGGACAUCUGUAGCAGAGAUUUCGACUUCACCGGCGGGGCC
rnacentral:precursor_RNA from 7 species